UAGAUGGCAUAAAUUAACUAAAAUAGAAACAUGAAUCACACAUCUACAACGCAUUGGUUUUGGAUUAGUUUUGUCCAUCAUUGCAAUGGGAGUUGCAGCUGUAGUCUCCCAUGUCUCGAGGAAAUUUGCUACCAAAGCUGCUCCUCCAAGGAAAAGAAAGUUGAGAUAAGAAUUUUAGGAAAUAAAUGAUGAAUAUUGCUUCCAGGAUUUUAUUGCAAACUGUCCCUGUUUCCACAAAAAUGCCCAUGGUUGAUAAGUAUUAGUGGAGAGAUGAACUUGGUUGAUUGGUUUAAAGUGAUGGUUGCAAGUCGUCGUUGAGAAGAGUUAAUAGAUAAUCUCAUUGAAGUACAUCCACCACCUAAAGCAUUGAAGCGCGCAUUGAUCCUGUGCCUCCAUUGUAUAUACUUCCAUCCUCUGAGCGGCCUAAGAUGGGGCAAGUUGUACACAUGCUUGAGGUAGAAG